GACAUCCAGAAGGAAGUCAUAGAGGAAACACCAGCUGAUGCAAGUGCUGCAGAAGAAUUCAAUCGAAUAUCAGGAAGAAAUGUGAGAUCCAAGUUCUGCCAACGCGGCAUUGGACACACACUGCUCGUUUGAUUGAAAUAAAAAAAAAAAACAGGAGAAAAUUGCAGAAGAAAACUAGAAGAAAUUUUCAACAUGUUAAUUCAAAGGUCAUCUGGCAGCAGUUCUCCGGGGUCUUUCAGUCCUUUAGAGGGAUGAGUCUAAAGAA